rnacentral:rRNA from 1 species
CGCCUACUGGAGGCAGCAGUGAGGAAUAUUGGUCAAUGGGCGCGAGCCUGAACCAGCCAAGUCGCGUGAGGGAAUAAGGCCCUACGGGUCGUAAACCUCUUUUGCCGGGGAGCAAGGGCCGGGACGAGUCCCGGUCCGGAGAGUACCCGGAGAAAAAGCAUCGGCUAACUCCGUGCCAGCAGCCGCGGUAAUACGGAGGAUGCGAGCGUUAUCCGGAUUUAUUGGGUUUAAAGGGUGCGUAGGCGGGCUUUUAAGUCAGCGGUAAAAAUUCGGGGCUUAACCCCGUCCGGCCGUUGAGACUGGGG